AGUAUGGGAAACACUUAACUCUAUAAAAUAAAGCUCUAUUUAUAGUUGAGCUUCAUUGUUUAAUACAUUUCAAAGUCUCAAAAAAGAGCAAAACUCUUGUAAUUCGACACGGAAUUGAAAAAAAUCCAUGCAUACGGCUUCACCUCCAAUUUGUGAAUUUUAUAUAGCCACCAAAUUGAAAAGCAAUCCACCAAAUUUGACUUUUCAACAAACUGCUCACUGCAUGAUUCAGCAACUGCAUACAAAUUAUUCAAAGUACGAUGUUAUUGUCAUAUAAGUUCCUUAGAACUUAAUUUGAAGUUAGCAAAACAUGAAGAAAUACUCAUUUAAUUCCUAUAGUUUGAACUAAUUAUCUAAUUAGUUGAUGUACUUUCAAAACAACAAUGAUAUGUAUAUAAAAAAUAGUAUAAAAAAUAGUACGUCAUUGCUAGAAAAAAAAUAACUAUAGGAUAAAAAAUUAAUACAAGAAAAGAAUUUUUGUCUUUUGUUGUUUUUAAACUAAUUUUUGUGUUAUUUUCGGUACAUAUAUCAUUAUUUAAAAAAAAAAUUAUUUAAAACAUAUUUUUGUAGUGAUUGGAUCUAAGUUUUAAGGAUAAAAUACUAUUACAUUGUUUCAACUAAUUUAAAAUUCAAAUUAAUUCAACAUUUAGGAGGUGAAGAAAAUAAAAUAUAAUUAAAUUGAUAUAAAUGAAGAAAACAAAUAGACAACAGAGAGGAUGUUUUAGAUAAUUUGUUUGGAAAAUACAAGAACUAGUUGGAUAAUUUGCUAAAACUAUGGAAAACAUUAAAAAAGACAUUGGACGAACAAACAAAAUGACACUAAUUAACGAAGACGAAUACGUAUACCUGAAAGAAACCUAUUCUUUGCAUGCUUUGAAUCAUCUCCGGAGAGCAAUUUCUGCACGUCAUGACUGGAAGCUGUUCCGUUGAAGAAUUGUCGAUGUUUCAAAUCAUUACACCUUUUACAGUAGGGCGAAUAUAUCGUGGUGGAACUGUAGUCAUCAUUGGUUUCGUUGCCAACU
rnacentral:lncRNA from 1 species